GUGUGUGUGAGGGAGAGAGAGAGAGAGAAAAACAGAACUAACAUUGGAAAAAGUUAGAAUAUGCUUGCAGCAUCUUUUUACCGGCGAUUCCAACUCUUCCACAUGUCAAAUGAAAUGUUCCUAAUCUGAAGUGUUAAUUCUUUUCCUCUCUCAGAAGUGGUUAUUAGUUCUAUCCAUGGUACAACAUUAUACCGCUUUAAAAAUCUUUAUUUUGCAGUUACCUUGUUCGCAUCGAGGAUGCUGGACCUUUCAGACAGUAAUUCAGGAUGCAGCCAGAAACAGCUGCGGUCCAAGUGGUGGUUCCGACCCCAUUCUCAAGGACGUUUAGGGUAGGGUGGUAAAUAAUGGGUAUCAUUGGAGCCUGUGCACUUCACUGGGGACAGUGUCCCCCCACCCAUCUUUGUUCGGCAGAGCAAUGGGCUCAGGGAAUAUAUAAAUAUAUUACAUAAUUAUAUCUCUGAUAAUCUUGUAUGUGUGAGGAUUAGGCCCCAAGCCGCGGUGUCGCCUGUUCACAGCUGCUGGGAGGGAGGCGUCGGCACCAGGGGGCAGUGUGGUGCAGCAUCCAGCCUGCAGUUAGUUCUGCCCCCCCCUCCCCUCCUCGGGAUGGCUGAGGAAGGUCCCUGGAUUCGAAUGGCGUCCCUCUCCCUCGAUGCUGUUGGAGGAUAGUGCUGAAGUCCUGGUGCUGCGGUUUGUGGAUUGGAGACUGUAGUUCACGUUAUGAUGUGCUUCCGACGGUUGCUAUUUUGGGUGAUUUUGAAUCAGGGUGGCCUGAGGAACACAAGCAGAAUAUGCCCGGACUCUUUUGAUUUUGUGUUCUAUAUUGUGAUUUGGUUUUUUUUGCACAUGGUGGGGUUUGAUGUCUUUCUUUUAACAGGUUCUGUGGUUUUCUUUGUGUCGUGGCUGUCUGUGGGGAAGUCGAAUCUCAGAGUUUGACAAUAAAUGUACUUUGAAUUGCA